UCAUAAUCUAGACUAAGCUUAGGUCGUCGGAUUCAUAACCCGGAAGAGCAGUGUAUAUUUGCGGUUGUGAU
rnacentral:tRNA from 1 species